rnacentral:rRNA from 1 species
GACGUAGGGCGCGAGCGUUGUCCGGAUUUAUUGGGCGUAAAGAGCUCGUAGGCGGCUUGUCGCGUCGGCUGUGAAAUCCCGUGGCUCAACUGCGGGUCUGCAGCCGAUACGGGCAGGCUAGAGUUCGGUAGGGGAGACUGGAAUUCCUGGUGUAGCGGUGAAAUGCGCAGAUAUUAGGAGGAACACCGAUGGCGAAGGCAGGUCUCUGGGCCGAUACUGACGCUGAGGAGCGAAAGCGUGGGGAGCGAACAGG